GGUGGUGCAUGGUUGUCGUCAGCUCGUGUCGUGAGAUGUUGGGUUAAGUCCCGCAACGAGCGCAACCCUUGUCUUUAGUUGCCAUCAUUAAGUUGGGCACUCUAGAGAGACUGCCAGGGAUAACCUGGAGGAAGGUGGGGAUGACGUCAAAUCAUCAUGCCCCUUAUGCUUAGGGCUACACACGUGCUACAAUGGGUAGUACAGAGGGUUGCCAAGCCGUAAGGUGGAGCUAAUCCCUUAAAGCUACUCUCAGUUCGGAUUGUAGGCUGAAACUCGCCUACAUGAAGCUGGAGUUACUAGUAAUCGCAGAUCAGAAUGCUGCGGUGAAUGCGUUCCCGGGUCUUGUACACACCGCCCGUCACACCACGGGAGUUGGAGACGCCCGAAGCCGAUUAUCUAACCUUUUGGAAGAAGUCGUCGAAGGUGGAAUCAAUAACUGGGGUGA
rnacentral:rRNA from 1 species